UCAAAUUAACUUUGUAAUAAACUGACUAUGUCUUAAACAGUGCUACUGAUAUUGGCUAUUUGUGCAACUCGACAAAACAAUAAAGCGAUAGAAAUGCAAAUGUCCGUUCUUGCUUGGGGCUGUCACACGCAAAAUUGAGCAGAAAUUUCAGCUGAUUCAUUUCUUAAUAAAUACCUUUAAUUGCUUUGAGUUGAUGAACUUUUAGAUGCUGCCUUUUCCUGAUAGAUUGCUAAAUCUCUGUUGAUAUGAAGUUCUCAUAAUCGUACAGCAACUGUCAGCUCACUCAGAUAGGAUAAUGUGUGGUUGUUAUCUUGCUCGUAUUGAUUGAAGCGUAAAACUUUGACUUAUUGCUUGAAAUGGUGGUCAUGAUUGCUAAACGAAUAGAUGAAUUUGGCCAAGUUCUGCGAGUCGUUGGACAUCGCUUUUGGUUAAGCAGUUGGCUUCAUUCAGUUUCAGGAACAAAAGAUGAAAUUGAAACAAUUGCUAGAAUCAUUAAUGACCACCCUUUUCCUGUUCAUCUACUCCAACCAACGCUUAAAAAUCAUAUCUCUCCGAGUAUCCUGUCUACCACGUUUGUUGAAAAUGUCCUUGGUCGCCUAUUUGCAGCACAUGCAAAUGGUCUUAAAGCAUAUGAAUUUUUUGAGUUCUGCCUCAGCCAUUCUGAGUAUAGUCCAACCUCUGAUGCAUUUGAGAAGACACUUCACGUGCUAGCAAGAAUGCGUUACUUUGAUAAAGGUUGGGAACUCAUGAAGAGAAUUCAACAGCUACAACCGUCGUUGCUCACCCUCAAGUCAUUGAGCAUCAUGCUAUCAAGAUUAGCAAAACAUCAGUCCUAUGAAGAUACCCUUGAAGCAUUUGAGAAGAUGGAGCAGCAUUUAUUCCCUGAGAAGAAAUUUGGCAUCGAAGAGUUCAAUAUUCUUCUUCGAGCAUUUUGCACACAGAGGCAGAUGAAGGAAGCUCGUUCAGUAUUCAACAAACUCCAUUCUAGGUUCCCACCUGAUACCAAGACAAUGAAUAUCUUGCUUUUGGGAUUUAAGGAAUCAGGGGAUAUUACUGCCGUAGAGUUAUUUUACCAUGAGAUUGUUAAAAGAGGUUUUAAGCUUAAUUCCGUAACAUACAGUAUAAGAAUUGACGCAUACUGCAAGAAAGGUCGUCUUGGUGAUGCUUUGAAGCUAUUUGAAGAAAUGGAUAGGGUAAAUUGCUUGCCUACACUAGAAACGAUAACAACUUUGAUUCAUGGAGCAGGGAUUGCUCGUAAUAUAACUAAAGCUAAAGAACUCUUCAAUGAAAUGUUCAAGAGAAAUUUGCAACCAGAUACUGGAGCAUAUAAUGCCCUCUUGAGUUCUCUUAUCAAAUCUAGGGAUGUUAAAUCUGCAGCAGUCUUAAUGGAUGAGAUGGUGGAGAAAAAAAUCAAGUUUGACCAUUUAACUUACCACACUAUGUUCUGGGGAUUGAUAAGAACAAAUGAUAUUGGUGGUGUCAUUGAUCUUUACGAAAGGAUGGUCGACAAAAACUUCUUGCCUAAGGCACGUACUGUUGUGAUGCUGAUGAAAUUCUUCUGUGCGAACCACAGAGUUGAUCUGGGUUUGAGUUUAUGGAAUUACCUGAUGGAUAAAGGACACUGUCCACACUGCCAUUCUUUGGAAAUUCUGGUCACAGGAUUGUGCUCCCAUGGGAGAGUUGAAGAAGCAUUUGAGUGCUCUGAGGAAUUGUUGAAGAGGGGUAGGCACAUGAGUGAGCUAGUGUUUCAGAUGUUGAAGAGGUAUCUCUUACAGCUAGGAGAGGAGGAUAAGUUACAGAAGCUGUACCAAAUGACAAAGAAAUUAGAAAUGAUAUUGCCUCCUUAUGGACAAACUAUUGGGCACAGCCUAGGUGCAGAUCUGUAAGGAGUUUUUCCUAUAAAAGAGGUUAUGUGAUCACACUUCUUACAGUACUACAUGAGAUGCAUAUAACUGUUACAAAGCCUAAUUUUGGCAGUGCCGUCUAAAAGUACGAGCUGUGGAAGUUGGCUAGCUGGUAAGGAAGGAAUAUUGACCUGUUCUGUAUGUGCCAGAUCCCAUCAGAUGUAACUGGGAAAGAUCUAAAUACUGAAAGGUAUCUGCACCUUCUUCCCCUCAAAGCAUGCCUUGUUCCUCUCCGACCAUAUCGUCCACAAAAUGCAAUUUGGGAUAGUUCUCCAUAUCUGCUUUAAGCUUCUUGAGAGAGCCAAACUUCCAAAAGGCUACUGAUCUUCUGUGGUAUUACCAAAGAAAUAUCCAUGAUGGCUGAGGUAAGUCAGAGGUUUACUGAUGACAGGGCCACUGUCCUCUUGUCAGAUGAGUUGAACUAUAGUAAGAAAUUUAUUACAGGCCUUCCAAGGUUUUCUUGCUAUUUCCUUCUCGUACUCCCUUGUGCUCUUUGUUUCUUGUUCUCUUUCUUUCUUUACAUGCGUGGUAGCUGAGGAAGUGGUGAAUCUGGAAAGAAAAGUUUGAUCAUUCAAAAUGUAAGGAAGCCGUAAAAAUACUCAAAUCUUAGUCUGGCAUUAACUUCUUGAUGUUCUUGGUUCAUUGAUAGCUAAGAAACUCCGGCAAACUCAUGAACUUGAUAAAAAAUAGAUUUGCAAAAAAGUUGUGUCCAGACAUUAAUAUUAAGCUUCUAAACUCUUCACUUUCUCAUGACGCAUAACAGUUAUAUAAUGUUGUUCUUCCUUCAAAGGAUUAUCUACUUCCUCAUUUUUGCACAUCAAAGCCUUAACUGCAUUCAUUGUGCAACUCUCCUACAGAUCAUCAAAUGGAUUGUGUUAUAAUGGAUUUACCCUUUCUUGGCCCCCUCUUAUAUCCUUGGCUUAAGAUGGACGAUAAAAAGCAUUCUCUGGCAGACCACCAAAUGGCAUCGCAAAGGUGCAGAAUUUCUUUACCGUCAAAUUGUCACUGAAGUUCAUUAAAAAGGUAAGGUCCGCACAUCAAGAAGAAAAUACAUAGUUGAAUUAAUGGCUCCUACCGGAUUAUUAGUAGAAUGCAAUAUGGACUUCCACGGAGUAUGCAUCAAUUUAAUGGCAUUAGAUGCCUCGUGUGAUUCGUUGCUUCAUGCCCAUAUUUUUCAAUUACAGUGUAUUGGUAAACCUCUGUCUGUUGAAGCUAUUACUUUUGCCAAAUAUUUUUCAGAAAAGUCAUGUCUAAUUCUUAAUUCAUUGGACAAUCGACUUGCACGUGCACAAGUAUGGCAUAUGCAAGAGUCGAUGCAUUGUGUUGACCAUUUAUUAGCUUGAUGUGAUAUCCUUUAUUUCCUGAAAAGAGGCUGAAAUCCAUCUUGAAU